GACGAACGCUGGCGGCGUGCUUAACACAUGCAAGUCGAACGAAGUGGAGAACGGGUGAGUAACGCGUAAUCAACCUGCCCUUCAGUGGGGGACAACAGUUGGAAACGACUGCUAAUACCGCAUAUCGAAGGAGGGGUAUGCGUCUGAUUAGGUAGUUGGAGGGGUAAGGGCCCACCAAGGCUAUGAUCAGUAGCCGGUCUGGGAGGAUGAACGGCCACAUUGGGACUGGUAAACGGCCCAGAAUCCUACGGGAGGCAGCAGUGGGGAAUCUUCCGCAAUGGACGAAAGGCUGACGGAGCAACGCCGCGGGAGUGAUGACGGCCUUCGGGUUGUAAAGCUCUGUUAAUCGGGACGCGGUACCGGAAUAGAAAGCCACGGCUAACUACGUGCCAGCAGCCGCGGUAAUAC
rnacentral:rRNA from 1 species